GGGCUGUUAACUCAGUUGGUUAGAGUAGCCGACUCUUAAUCGGUUUGUCCAGGGUUCAACUCCCUGACAGCCCA
rnacentral:tRNA from 2 species